AGUAUGCGCUACUAGGAUCCGUUCAAACCCUGUCAACCUGAGGAGUGGGGGAGGAAGAUGAACUUUAGAAUAAUUAGCUACUGUAUGCUCAUCAUGGGACUGAGCAUCAGCGCUCACAUUCUCUUCAGACUGUUGGAGUCUGUCAUAACAACUUCACGGACGAGAAGAACAGGGUCAUCAAACAGAUCUACAAUGAGGGCAAGAGUGAACGGGUUUAAGAAGCAGACAGAGAUUCUCAGACAGAAUUCUCAGGAGAAAUACAAAAUCACUUGCAACAAGUAGGAGUUUAGUAGAAUACGAGCACAUCGUAAAACAAGGGGGAUUUAUAUGGCCAAACGCCUCGGAAGAGGAAUGGAGUCAUUCAGGAAGGGGAGCGAACGGUUGAUUGAGUUAGGAGUAGUUCACUUUUUCAGUGGUUUGUGGCAGACGUUGAUGAUGUGCACAGCUCACGUUUGCUUGGACCUCGGAUACUAAGCCGAGGUGUUAAAACAAGUGUGUAAUACCUGGGUGAAAYGGAAACAGUAAUGGGGUACAUGUCUUUGUCACAGUAAAGCCUCGCCCCACAGCCAUUCUAGGUUUCUCCAGGAGGAGAAUACGUUGUGGAGAUUUGGUCUGGUAUCACAAGACUAACAGCAGUAGGACAUGUCAUUAGCAGCACAUCUCUUCCGCUAUUGGAUGGAACCAAGACUCCUGUUAGCCAGUUGCUAAUUGGUUUGCAUACCCGUGACAUGCUGUUUCCCCCACGGCCGUUCAGAGGCAUGCUCAACAAGAUUCAUGGGACUGUGUGAAUUUGGCAUUCCAGAUAUAGUAAAACUUCAGUGUUCCGUAAUGUAAGUCGAUGGUUGAUUAAAGACUUUACGUAAUCAAAGGUAGAAUCCCUUAAUGACAGAAAGGGGGUGCUCUGCACAGCUGCCCUUGAACCACUGGGAUUCAGUCAUUGUGCCUCUGUGUGUCAAUGAUAUCAUGGAACUCUUGACUCUGCUACUGGGCCCAGGGUGGACCCAAAUACAGUCAUAAAAAUAUACUGUUUGGGACAGGAGUUUUUCCUGUUACCUACAUGCAAUAUUUAGGACCUUCUGCUUUUCCUGGUUAUGUGAUGAGGGAAAACUGUCCCUAGAUAUACUAAAUCCUUUCCCAUUGAAAGGAUAUGGAAUCAAGAGACAUUUAGAAAAUUAAGUCAUAUUAGGACUUUUUAAAAUGGUAUCUAAUUGUACACUUUUCUGAUGUUGAAGAAUUCAUUUUAGGGAUGGUAAUUAUACUAUGGAAAGUACUGAAGUGGAAACUGGAAAGCAGGCAGAUUCACAUUUCUAAGAUUAGAAAUGUAUUUAAUUUAUUGCUGUGGUUACGGCCAACAGACACUUACCAUAAGUCACAGAUUGUGUUUCAGUGAUGUUUAAUGACAGCCUUAACUCUUCACGGUGGCGUUGAUUCAUGCAAUGAUUGCACUGUUCCUCUGAUCUCAACCAACAACAUCCAAUGUUUCAUUUUGAGUUUGUUUCUCACCUGAUUCCACUCUCACAUGUCAGGUCAGGUUUGGAAGUGAGCGAGUGGUGCAGUGUGUGUUAAUGACUCUAUGGCCUUCUGUUGUUUCUCAAGGCCUUAGCUGAAACCACAGGAGAUAACAGGUCCCCGCAUACCCACAUCCCCCAUGUAGUGCACAAGUGCCCCCUCAUAACCAAAACACACCACACUGACAGAGACUCUUCUGUCGAUGUAAAGACAAACUGAUGGGAGACAGAGUUUACUGUACAGUCUGGGCUGCUGAUCAAGGUUUUGUAAGCCUCUGACUGUGACCUAGUGCUGCUGAUCAAGGUUUUGUAAGCCUCUGACUGUGACCUAGUGCUGCUGAUCAAGGUUUUGUAAGCCUCUGACUGUGACCUAGUGCUGCUGAUCAAGGUKUUGUAAGCCUCUGACUGUGACCUAGUGCUGCUGAUCAAGGUUUUGUAAGCCUCUGACUGUGACCUAAAUUAGUUGUGCAAAUGUAUUAUUCCAAUCAAAUAAAUGAUUAAUAUCAA